rnacentral:lncRNA from 1 species
GANACGCAAUAAUCUUCAUGUGCUACUGUAGUUUCUACUCUGUUGGUUGGAGACAAUGUAACACCAAUGGCCCAAGAUGAAGUUUUAUAACGAGUUGACGAUUUAUUCAACUGUGUUAAUCAUGUAUUCUAAGGUAAAUUCCUUUGUACAUCUUUUUAUCUCUUACAUAUUUUACUUAUAAAAAAGCUGUUUGUACAUAUGAAUUGUACAUAUAGCUUUAUAGAUUAUGACAUGGUAGCAUUUUAACGGCUGAAUUAACUGUGUCUUUUGUCAAAGAUGCUGUGAGAUAUUACCGCAUAUAAUUUUUGUAAACCGGUG